rnacentral:tRNA from 2 species
UCCGCAGUAGCUCAGCGGUAGAGCUAUCGGCUGUUAACCGAUCGGUCGUAGGUUCGAUUCCUAUCUGCGGAGCCA